GGAGAAAGGUCUGCGGGAAGCAGGAGGCGCGGGCGGGGCUGGACGGGGAAACCUGACGGCGGGAGGAUGUUCCGUGUGUGCGUGCGUGUACGUGUGUGUGUGUACGUGUGUGUGUGUGUGUGUGUGUGUGUGUGUGUGUGUGUGUGUGUGUGAGAGAGAGAGAGAGAGAG